AGAAUCAACGCUGGCGGCGUGCCUAACACAUGCAAGUCGCACGAGAAAGGGUAGCAAUACCUGAGUAAAGUGGCGCACGGGUGAGUAACACGUGAAUGAUCUACCCCCGAGUGGGGGAAUAAACUGAGAGAAAUCUUAGCUAAUACCGCAUAACACUUACGAGUCAAAGCAGCAAUGCGCUUGGAGAGGAGUUCGCGGCCGAUUAGUUAGUUGGCGGGGUAAUGGCCCACCAAGACGAUGAUCGGUA
rnacentral:rRNA from 1 species